rnacentral:rRNA from 1 species
GAUGAACGCUGGCGGCGUGCCUAAUACAUGCCAGUCGAGCGAACAGACGAGGAGCUUGCUCCUUCGACGUUAGCGGCGGACGGGUGAGUAACACGUAGGUAACCUACCUAUAAGACUGGGAUAACUUCGGGAAACCGGAGCUAAUACCGGAUAAUAUUUCGAACCGCAUGGUUCGAUAGUGAAAGAUGGCUUUGCUAUCACUUAUAGAUGGACCUGCGCCGUAUUAGCUAGUUGGUAAGGUAACGGCUUACCAAGGCAACGAUACGUAGCCGACCUGAGAGGGUGAUCGGCCACACGGGAACUGAGACACGGUCCAGACUCCUACGGGAGGCAGCAGUAGGGAAUCUUCCGCAAUGGGCGAAAGCCUGACGGAGCAACGCCGCGUGAGUGAUGAAGGUCUUCGGAUCGUAAAACUCUGUUAUUAGGGAAGAACAAACGUGUAAGUAACUGUGCACGUCUUGACGGUACCUAAUCAGAAAGCCACGGCUAACUACGUG